AACACUUGCUGGAUGUCGUUCACUACACGAUCAGAACACUUGCCGAACGAUAGUCACUACUCCAUCAAAACAUCUGCUAGAUGUCGCUGACUACGCCAUCAUAACACCUGCUACACGUCGCUAACUACUCCAUCAAAACACCUGCUGGACGCAACACAAUCUCGUUCGGCGGAGGCUUCUGAUUUUCAUUAAGGAAGCCAUCGUGCAGAAAGUGUUAAGUAAACAUUUCUCAAGAACGUGUGAAUUUGCAGUACCCAAGUGUUCAUGGUGAAUUCGUCGUCGUGAUGUCGAAGAGGCUCAGGGAUUUGUUGAAGUCGCUAGCGUAGAGGAUGACUGCAGGAUGAAGGUUACCUGCAGCGUGUCGAAGGAUACUGAACUUCACAUCAGUGAGGAGGCGCAGAUCAGCGAGUAUGAUGGAUCAACGUGUUGCACACACCUGGUACAACCAGGUACAACCUAGUACAUGAUGGUAUAGCACACUUUUAUCGCCUUAUCUACACCCGUAACUUACAUUCACUAGUAUUAGUAUGUACAAAAACAUCGUUAUAAAACGCUGUUUGCAAAAUGCUGAACACCCAUGAAAAUAUCGUACAGGAAAACAUAUCAUACAGGAAAACAUAUCAUACAGGAAAACAUAUCAUACAGGAAAACAUAUCAUACAGGAAAACAUAUCAUACAGGGGAAAUAAUAUACUGGAGAAAACAAUUAUAAAGAAAAGAAAUGUAAAUCAGGGAGAAAACAAGGCAGCACAUCAAUAUCAUCAAUAAUAUUUAAUUACACUUUGAUAUCCUUAUGAUACCACAUACACUAUCAUAAAUAUACACAAGGUACAUAAAACUGGAAGUGUGUGUUUUGUUUAUUAGAAUGUACAUAGCGAGCGGAGUGUGUCUACCAGAGUACGUACAGGACAGAAUUUUGCAUCUCAUGGUAUGUACACCGACUUGUUUAUGCCUGUUAGAACAGAGCAUAUACACCGAGAGGUGUCUGUCACUCACUGAUAGACUGUUUCUCUAUCAGUGUACACAGAAAGACGUGUUUUCCUCUCACUAUAUACGCACAGAAAGUUAAUCUUUAUCCCUCCAUGAUGGCUUAAAGUGCCUGGGAUGUUAAUACACAGGUGAUUAUAACCUUAAUGACCCACAUAAACUACUAAAAAAAUUAAUACACAAAAUAUAAAAUACUCACUAAAUUUGAGUAUUAAUCAACUAGAAAAAUAUUAACCAUGACAUAGCUAGAAGGUAAUUAAAAACAACAGCUAUUCAAACCCCUAUAAAGAAAUUUUAAAUGGUAUAAAUAUUAAGAUUAAAACACAUGCCAGCACCUCCCUCAUACAUGGGGGGAAUAUGUAUUAUUUUUAUUAUGAGAAUAAUAUACUUAUGUAGUUACAUGGAGGUUUUAUUGCUGAUGGUGUGCGUGUGUGUGUGUGUGUGUGUGUGUGUGUGUGUGUGUGUGUGUGUGUGUGUGUGUGUGUGUGUGUGUGUGUGUGUGUGUGUGUGCUCACCUAGUUGAGGUUGCAGGGGUCGAGUCCAAGCUCCUGGCCCCGCUGGUGUGCAAGUCUCGGCGUAUACAGUAUAUGCUGAGACACAGAGAGGAGGGUCUCUGUAUAUAAACAAUCCAAGGAAACUCUCAGUGUAAGUACACUGAGAGUUGCCUCUCAACACACACACAACUUGCUGCACGUACACGGAGAGGUGUGUGUUCUGUGUAUAUACACUAAGAACUGUGUAUCAUUCAGAGAAAUAACCCUCACCAAAGAGAAAGACGCUUUUGACGACGUUUCGGUCCGGUUUAGGCCGAAACGUAGUCAUAAGUUUCUCUUUCCUAUGUGCGGGUUAUUUGUGUAUUGUUCCAGUCAUGUUAUUUAUUUAUUAUUAUUAUUAAAUAUUAGCCGGUAUUCUCCCGGCCCGGGCCUUUUCCAAGUGGUGGCCCGGCCUUGGCUCCCUCUUUAGGGAGUGUCUGAGACCUAAGUCUCCCAUGGGAGGAGGCACAAGGACCUCCUCAUCUGUGGGACCAACUGUCCCCAGGCCUAGCCACAAGCUAGGCCUCUCUGGUCUGCCAUGCCCGCCCCAUGGGGGCAACUGGGAAUGACAGUGUUAUGAGCUAAAGGCUCCGGCUCAGGCACCUACCCUACCCUAGAAGGGCUGGGCAUGGUGUCGAUCUUCCAGUCAUGGUAUUAUUUGUGUAUUGUUCCAGUCAUGGUAUUAUUCCUUGUUGUUCUCUAAGUGUGUAUGUGAUGACAGGUGUGUGUGUACCUAUCAUUACAAAUUUCAUUAAUACUUUCUCUUAGUCUUUAAUUUAGAUAAAGUUUAGAUAAUUUUUUGAGCGUCGAUAAUCCACAUACAGUCAAUAGCCUUUAAACCUAGCACUAAUCAAUCUUAUACAAAAUUAUACAGAAUAUACUUAAAUAAAUUUGCAGUAGUUUCUGAUGCUAAGGUUCAUGAGGCCGGAAAUCAACGUUGCUGCUCAACGUUAACAAGGAGGUGGGGUCAGGAGCUGAAUCUCAAAACCCGAGAACAAAAAAAUGGGUGAGUGCAGAACCAAAGAAAACGGAGAGGUAAAGAAAAUAUUUUUUUUCUGGAUAACUUGAGAAAACUAGACUGGA